rnacentral:misc_RNA from 1 species
UCUCCGUUGGUGAACCAGCGGAGGGAUCAUUACCGAGUUCAUGCCCUACCGGGUAGAUCUCCCACCCUAUGUUAUUAUUACUUUGUUGCUUUGGCGGGCCGUUAGGCUCCGGCCCGACUACCGGCCCCGGCUGGUAAGCGCCCGCCAGAGGACCCAAAACCCUGAAUAUUAGUGUCGUCUGAGUACUAUAUAAUAGUUAAAACUUUCAACAACGGAUCUCUUGGUUCUG